AUAGGAGGAGAUGAGCCGUAACUUAUCAGGCUUAGGAAGGGAGGGGGUCCGCCCAGGGGCGGCUGAAGGAUGCUUGAGAAGCAUAGCAGAGCAGGAGGCAUCCAGAGACUGGACGUUGGUAAACAGAGCUAUAGCUAAGCAAAUGUCUUAAGAGAUGAGGUGACUGCCUCAUGGAGUUCAGAGAAUGUAAUCUUAUUUAUGUAUUUAACACAAAAAACGUGCGUGGAAUACAAGCAGCUCUAGCCAGAUUUUCAGAAAGGAGAAAAGA
rnacentral:lncRNA from 1 species